rnacentral:rRNA from 1 species
UACGUAGGGUGCAAGCGUUAAUCGGAAUUACUGGGCGUAAAGCGUGCGCAGGCGGUGAUGUAAGACAGAUGUGAAAUCCCCGGGCUCAACCUGGGACCUGCAUUUGUGACUGCAUCGCUAGGGUACGGUAGAGGGGGAUGGAAUUCCGCGUGUAGCAGUGAAAUGCGUAGAUAUGCGGAGGAACACCGAUGGCGAAGGCAAUCCCCUGGACCUGUACUGACGCUCAUGCACGAAAGCGUGGGGAGCAAACAGG